CAAAAUGUCUUAUUGUGCUGUAUUCACCUAUCUAGACUGUGGCUGACUGGGGAUACCAGAAAACACGGAAAGCAAAACCGCAGUAAGCAAAACCAUGGACCAAGGGGGACUACAAUACCAAAAAAGUCUUCUUCAGGACCGACUAUACAAAUUCCAGCAUUAGAAUAGAUCAAAUCCACCAAGCCCAGAGACAAUUCUCUGUUAGAAACAUCAAAGCAUGGACCAUGGGACACUGAACUAUUCUCCUGGAAGCAGCCCUUCCAAAAGAGGGCAAAGAAGGACUUCCAUUCAUUGUUUUGGUGUAUAGCAUAGCCUUUUUGAGCCUUUCUUCAGCUUCAUGAUGUGACCAGAACCACGUGAGCAUUCCAAGAGCAGACAC